rnacentral:rRNA from 1 species
ACGGGAGGCAGCAGUGAGGAAUCUUCCACAAUGGGCGAAAGCCUGAUGGAGCGACGCCGCGUGCAGGAUGAAGGCCUUCGGGUUGUAAACUGCUUUUAUAAGUGAGGAAUAUGACGGUAACUUAUGAAUAAGGAUCGGCUAACUACGUGCCAGCAGCCGCGGUCAUACGUAGGAUCCGAGCGUUAUCCGGAGUGACUGGGCGUAAAGAGUUGCGUAGGUGGUUAUAUAAGUGAAUAGUGAAAGCCGGCGGCUCAACCGUACGGACUAUUAUUCAAACUGUAUAACUCGAGAAUGGUAGAGGUAACUGGAAUUUCUUGUGUAGGAGUGAAAUCCGUAGAUAUAAGAAGGAACACCAAUGGCGUAGGCAGGUUACUGGACCAUUUCUGACACUGAGGCACGAAAGCGUGGGGAGCGAACCGGAUUAGAUACCCGGGUAGUCCACGCCGUAAACGAUGGAUACUAGCUGUUGGAGGUAUCGACCCCUUCAGUAGCGAAGCUAACGCGUUAAGUAUCCCGCCUGGGGAGUACGGUCGCAAGACUAAAACAUAAAGGAAUUGACGGGGACCCGCACAAGCGGUGGAGCGUGUUGUUUAAUUCGAUGAUAAGCGAAGAACCUUACCCAGGCUUGACAUCCUUGGAAGCACUGCGAAAGCAGAGUGUGCCUUCGGGAACCAAGUGACAGGUGUUGCAUGGCCGUCGUCAGCUCGUGUCGUGAGAUGUUGGGUUAAGUCCAGCAACGAGCGCAACCCUUGUGGCUAGUUGAAUUUUUCUAGUCAGACUGCCCUGGUAACAGGGAGGAAGGGGGGGAUGAUGUCAGGUCAGUAUUACCCUUACGUCUGGGGCUACAAACACGCUACAAUGGCCGGUACAAAGGGCUGCCAAGUCGCGAGACGGAGCAAAUCCCAUCAAAGCCGGUCUCAGUUCGGAUUGGAGGCUGAAACUCGCCUCCAUGAAGUCGGAAUCGCUAGUAACGGUAGGUCAGCACACUACCGUGAAUACGUUCCCGGGUCUUGUACACACCGCCCGUCAAACCAUGAAAGUCGCCAAUACCUGACGUCCUAGCUUGCCUAGGCCUAAGGUAGGGGAGAUGAUUGGGGUUAAGUCGUAACAAGGUAUCCGUACCGGAAGGUGCGGAUG